rnacentral:rRNA from 1 species
AGAGUUUGAUCAUGGCUCAGAUUGAACGCUGGCGGCAUGCCUUACACAUGCAAGUCGAGCGGCAGCGCGGGGGCAACCCUGGCGGCGAGCGGCGUACGGGUGAGUAAUGCAUCGGAACGUGUCCUCUUGUGGGGGAUAACCAGUCGAAAGACUGGCUAAUACCGCAUGAGCUCGCAAGAGGAAAGCAGGGGACCCGCAAGGGCCUUGCGCGAGAGGAGCGGCCGAUGCCGGAUUAGCUAGUUGGUGGGGUAAAAGCCCACCAAGGCGACGAUCCGUAGCUGGUCUGAGAGGACGACCAGCCACACUGGGACUGAGACACGGCCCAGACUCCUACGGGAGGCAGCAGUGGGGAAUUUUGGACAAUGGGGGCAACCCUGAUCCAGCCAUGCCGCGUGUGUGAAGAAGGCCUUCGGGUUGUAAAGCACUUUCGGCCGGAACGAAAUCGCCUCCGUUAAUAGCGGGGGUGGAUGACGUACCGAAGAGAGAC